rnacentral:rRNA from 1 species
GGGGAAUAUUGGACAAUGGGCGCAAGCCUGAUCCAGCCAUGCCGCGUGAGUGAUGAAGGCCCUAGGGUUGUAAAGCUCUUUCACCGGUGAAGAUAAUGACGGUAACCGGAGAAGAAGCCCCGGCUAACUUCGUGCCAGCAGCCGCGGUAAUACGAAGGGGGCUAGCGUUGUUCGGAAUUACUGGGCGUAAAGCGCACGUAGGCGGAUAUUUAAGUCAGGGGUGAAAUCCCGGAGCUCAACUCCGGAACUGCCUUUGAUACUGGGUAUCUCGAGUAUGGAAGAGGUGAGUGGAAUUCCGAGUGUAGAGGUGAAAUUCGUAGAUAUUCGGAGGAACACCAGUGGCGAAGGCGGCUCACUGGUCCAUUACUGACGCUGAGGUGCGAAAGCGUGGGGAGCAAAC